UACACUCCUACGGGAGGCAGCAGUGGGGAAUAUUGGACAAUGGGCGCAAGCCUGAUCCAGCCAUGCCGCGUGAGUGAUGAAGGCCCUAGGGUUGUAAAGCUCUUUCACCGGUGAAGAUAAUGACGGUAACCGGAGAAGAAGCCCCGGCUAACUUCGUGCCAGCAGCCGCGGUAAUACGAAGCGGGCUAGCGUUGUUCGGAUUUACUGGGCGUAAAGCGCACGUAGGCGGACUAUUAAGUCAGGGGUGAAAUCCCGGGGCUCAACCCCGGAACUGCCUUUGAUACUGGUAGUCUUGAGUUCGAGAGAGGUGAGUGGAAUUCCGAGUGUAGAGGUGAAAUUCGUAGAUAUUCGGAGGAACACCAGUGGCGAAGGCGGCUCACUGGCUCGAUACUGACGCUGAGGUGCGAAAGCGUGGGGAGCAAACAGGAUUAGAAACCCUUGUAGUCCCAUG
rnacentral:rRNA from 1 species